UGAAGGACCCUGUCUUAAACUCAAUUGAAACUUAUGUAACACCUGCAUGACGCGGAUUCAUCAAUAGAACAUAAGAACAUGGUUUUCUAUUGGAACAAACCAAUGUGAAAAGGCAAUUGAUAAAACCAUUCGACCAUCUGGGACAUCACAAGCAGACAAACACAUUAAAAUAUUCUAGGACAUCACAUGCAGAUAAGCACAUUAAAAUAUACGCCUUAGGCCUCACCAAAGCGUAAACUCCCUACAGAGAAAAUAAGAGAAACAAUUCAUGUUCAAUGCACUAAAGCUACACAUGUAUAGGUCCUUUAAAUGGAGAUCUAAUCUAUUAUCUUAACAGAAGGACUUUGCAGUCAAAUGCAUACGGAAUCACUAUCACCUGAGUUAUGCAAAGGGCAACAACAGGGCUUCUAAUUCCUUGGUUCAAAUACAGUCUCCGCAAAACAUGAAUACUAACCUUCUGUUGUUUACAAGUGAAGUUGCAUGCACAUAGACACAUCAAUAAGAAAUCACCAGAUGUGAAUGAAUCUAAACACUAGUAAUCUGAUUACACUCAAUGCGAUUCAACAUUAAAUCACAAUCGCAGAUAUUCCAACUUUGUCAAUUAUCUAGGUUCAACUCAAAUAAGCCAACAAAAUACACUCAGGAGCAAUGAAAUAAUCAUCCUAGACCUUAGUCAUGCGAUCGAUCUUCUAGUUAACAAAAGAAGCAAAGCACCAAAUGCCAUGUGUUUUCAAACAAAAAGGCUAAUGGACUGAAACAAGCAAGAAUACCUUUCAUGGAGGAAAUGAUCUCAAUAUGCAAAUCAGGGAUGCCAUUAAUCAACAAACUCACUAGGUUGAAGUGUAUGUUAGAGUCAGAUUAACAUUCAAUAACUCUUAAGUGCGUGCAGACAUGUGAAUUACAGGAAAACUAACAAUGACGAGAAAAAUUAACAGUAAGUUGCAGCAUAGUGAAUGAAAUGCAAUAUGACAGGCAGAAUAACUUGACUCUAAGCAUGAUUCACUUAUUUUCAUAUGCUAAUUCACAUAACAAAACCAGCAGCCCGAGUAUUCAAUGAAAGCGAUCGAGACAAGCAUGAACAAAUAUUAAACUGCACCAUUUCACAAACGAUUGGACAUCAAUCAUUCAGGUCACAAGGCAAAUAAUCCGAGCCAAAAGGCAUUCCAAAACAUUUAAGUAUAACUCCCAUACAUGUUCGUGCAAAUCCUCCCUCAACCCAUGCCUUUUCUAAGUCGACUCAAACACUUUCCAAAUUUGACAAACCUACAACUCUUAUCAUGUUUCAAUCACCAUUAACAAGAAUAGGAAGGAGAGAGGUGAACCUAAAAUUGCAAAAUUCUUCAAUUAAGUUCGUUUGAAAUUGAAUACAAGUGAACUCGACACUGAAAUUUGAAGUAACAGCAGCAGACAAAUAGGAAUCGAACCAGCGACACAGCAGCGGCAGGAACCACGAACAAAUACCUCUCGAGCAGUUGACGGACCUCAUCUAAACUCCAUUUCUUGUUAAACAAAUCAGAAGCUGAUAUAUUCUUUUUGGUAUUUUCUGUUUUGAAAAUCAAAAGAAAGACUAAUAGAGAGCUCUAAGCUUUUUGUACGCCAAUGAAGUGAAAAUUGGAAAGAAGAACAUGAAAAUCAGAAAACCCUCGCCCUUCUUCUUUUCCCAUUUUUUCUCCGAAAGAAAAAAAACCCCAUCUCUGUAUAGACUCAAAUAUAUAGCUCCCUCUUGAAGCUUCUCCUUCUUCAACAAGAAAUUCCCCCAAAAACCCGCAUUUGCCCUUCAAUAAAUUCCGAAAAUCUCAAACCCCCAAAUGAAAAUCCCCUCUUGUUCUUCUUUCUGGAUGGUUCUAAGACAAAUGGAAGACUAGGAUUUAAAGUCUUCAAAUCCUACGUCUACCAUUAAUCCGAAUUCCAUUCAAGGGAAGCAAAAGCUCGUGGAAAGGGGUAAAAUGGAAUAUCUUCUUCUGACAGAGGUCGUUAUGGUCUUGAUGAUGUGGAAGAGAGAAAAGAGAGGAGGGGGGACCAUGAGGGUUCGUUUAUGGUGAGGUUUGGGUUGGGUUAUGGCAGCAGGAGGUGUGAGGGAGAAGAGGGUGCGGUUGGUUUAGUCUUUAGGGUUAGGGGUUGGAGUGAUAUAACUGAGUUUGUAUUUGGGUGUGGGAAAAUAAGGUGGACCGUUGGAUUUGGUGAAUGGAUGACCGCGAUUUAAUCAGGAAGAUGGAGCGGGUCGGGUCAUUUGGGCAGAUCUCAGUUGGGUUAAGGGAAAAGGAUGGGCUGCCCAGAUUUGG
rnacentral:lncRNA from 1 species